GAUCACUCCUCUUGGAGUCUUUUUCGGUGAGCCCAGGACACAGUUUCAUCAUUUUAGUGCAUUACACCACUUGGCACAGGAGAUGCAAGGAACCACAUCAAAUAAAAGCACGUGACCACAAAAGCCCGAAGAAUCAUGAUCCCAGAUUCACUGUUAAGUUCACCAUUCUUCAGACUUGCUCGACCAUCAAAUCCUCCCUAUCACAUUAACAACGUGCUGCUUUGUAAGAGCUGUGGAAUAAUGCUUCCUUCAGCAAUACAGAGCUUAAUAAAGUAACAGAACAUUACUCCUAUUACUGAGAAA